UACGGAGGGUCCAAGCGUUAUCCGGAUUCAUUGGGUUUAAAGGGUCCGUAGGCGGUUUUGUAAGUCAGUGGUGAAAGCCCAUCGCUCAACGGUGGAACGGCCAUUGAUACUGCAAGACUUGAAUUAUUAGGAAGUAACUAGAAUAUGUAGUGUAGCGGUGAAAUGCUUAGAUAUUACAUGGAAUACCAAUUGCGAAGGCAGGUUACUACUAAUAUAUUGACGCUGAUGGACGAAAGCGUGGGGAGCGAACAGG
rnacentral:rRNA from 1 species